GCCCGCCUAGCUCAAUCGGAUAGAGCGUCAGACUCUUACUCAGGUACAGCCUGUACAAGGCUGCGAGUUCGACCCUCGCGGUGGGCA
rnacentral:tRNA from 1 species